rnacentral:rRNA from 1 species
AGCGAACGCUGGCGGCAGGCCUAACACAUGCAAGUCGAACGGAUCCUUCGGGAUUAGUGGCGGACGGGUGAGUAACACGUGGGAACGUGCCCUUUGGUUCGGAACAACUCAGGGAAACUUGAGCUAAUACCGGAUGUGCCCUUCGGGGGAAAGAUUUAUCGCCAUUGGAGCGGCCCGCGUCUGAUUAGCUAGUUGGUGAGGUAACGGCCCACCAAGGCGACGAUCAGUAGCUGGUCUGAGAGGAUGAUCAGCCACAUUGGGACUGAGACACGGCCCAGACUCCUACGGGAGGCAGCAGUGGGGAAUCUUGCGCAAUGGGCGAAAGCCUGACGCAGCCAUGCCGCGUGAAUGAUGAAGGUCUUAGGAUUGUAAAAUUCUUUCAGCGGGGACGAUAAUGACGGUACCCGCAGAAGAAGCGCCGGCUAACUUCGUG